rnacentral:misc_RNA from 1 species
AAAACCUAGUGCAAGUUAAUUGCAUUAUUACAGAAUGAAAGAUCAUAAUCCAUGAACAUAAAAAAGACAUAGCAACAAUGUUUUUCCAAGAUGAUCAUAAUACAGAUUGUUUGCUAGUUAAUAUAAUCGAUAACUUCAAUGACCAGCAAAGAGAGUGCUCUAGGAUUUGUCAAGUUUCGCAGCAAGCCGAACAUUUUGUCAUCAUUUAAGCCAGACAACAAAAGAAUGGUUUUACUUUUUUAUUUUGUAGCUUUUCAGGUUGGCAGGAACAAGAAACAGUGAAAUAUUAAUUACAUCAUUACUGGAAGGACAAACGAUGUUAACAUAUUAUUAUUGAACUGAGUUGAAUGGCAGAGGUGAAUGAAUUGGCCGAGGCAAGAGUCCAUGAAGUGUGAGAUGGACAUACUUGGGCUUGGACCAAUCAUUGCUAAAUGUUAGUGUUGGAAUCCCUUAAUUA